UAACUCUCUUUUGCAAAAAUAAAAAUAAAAAAAAUAAUAAUAAAAAAAAACCUUAAUCCCCAUUCACAUUGAAACCUAGGCUUUGCAUCGCCGCGGGAAAGCAUUGAUUGGGUGGCAUUGAUUUCAAUGUCAUAGGAUCCUCUCUAACUCCUUCCUCAACUUUCCAUCACAUUCACCUCCACCCCCACCUUCUUCGUCGCCUCCUUCACCAGCACCAUCACCAUCACCACCAUCGCCAUUGCCAAUUUCCGCUGAUCUCACCACCAAGGUCACCUCCGUCCCCCCUACAACUCCAUCAUCCCUCAAUGUCCUCUGCGGAUCCUGCAUCUCCACGCCACGCCCCCCACCAUCAACACCAUUCUCCCAGCCGCCAAACCCUUGAUCCCGAUCAUCUUCUUCAGCUGCGCCACCGUCUCCCUGCUCUCCACAUCCAUCGCGAUCCACCACUCAUCGCAGAUGUGCCAGAGUUUUGCAAGCAGAUCGAUGGAGGUUUCAUUUUGGCAUUUCAUUAAUAAUUUGCAACUAGUACAAGCAUGGAGUUUUGGACAUCCAUUAUAAAUCUCAAGUACAUCAUUGCUUUAGGAUUUCAGAUUGCCAAAGGAUUCUUGAAUUACUCCACUCAUCAUAUUCAAUGACAAAUCCAAGUAUUGCAAGUUUCUCAGAUCGCCAAAACAAAUUACUUGCACUGAUAUACCACUUUAAUGGCCCAUUAAAUGCUUAAAUGGUAUAUUAGUGCAAUUAUUUUGGAUCUCCAAAAUAGUUAAAUGGUGCAGAACUUACAAACGUCUAAAUCACCUGAUGAAGAAAUUAGAAAUUUUGAGUACACCUUCCUAAGUGAAGUCCGAGUGCUCAAUAUAAUUGUUUGAGAAAGUUGAUAGCAGGCUAAAACUUAUGAAGAGAGGGAUUUGGUAAUGAUUCAAGCUCUAUACGUGUCGCUAUUGUUGGUUGUGGAUGGUUGCUGUGGAGUUGAGUUAGCCACUACAAUCUCAGAGAGGUUAAAAGAUAAAGGGAUAGUUUGAGCAAUCAAUGUUGAGGAUGCUAAUUGUCCAACUGUGACACCUGGAAAUAGAGAAGCUGCAUUAAAGCUCUUUGUAGGCAAACAACUAU